AUGAAAGUCCUGUGGUUAUACCAUCUUGCUUGGGCCAAAGGUCAUCUGUAUAUGAAUAUCCGUGUUAAUCUGAUCAGCUGUUUGUAAAUAUAAGACAAACACCAAGUUAGCAUCCACCUGUUUUCUAGACAAUUUCUGUUCAUCUGGAGAAGUCUGAACAGAUACUUACUUUGUGUGGGAGUAAAAGGAAUUUGUUUGGCUGAAGAAAUCACAGUUUUAUAUCCUAAUUUUAAGAACUAUACUAUAAUCACUUUGUAUUCCAUUAGAAGUUCAAAAUGCAAAUGGUAACUAUGGAAUAUUGAGUGUUUUGUUUUGAAAAUAUCAGUAAGCUUUAUUUUGAAAGGAUUAAAGCGGCCCAUUUCCAUCACUGGUUGAGUUCCAGCAGUAGUGUAAAUCUUAAUUCUGCAAUAUGGCUUUUAUUUUGUAGAGUAUGUUGAUGUCUUAUUUUGAAAAUCCAGCAUAGUUGUCCUCUCAGGCUUGGGUUAGUUCCAUUAAUAAUAUGGAACCUUGUCUUUUAUUUAGCAAAUUUCAGCGACGCUUAUCGGCUCUAUUUAUAGUCAUUUUGCAAUAUGCAAGAUGUUGUUACAGGUUACAUAUAGAGAUGCACCAGUCAAUUGGCCAGAGAUGAGCUCAGACUAUGCCCUGCAUGGAGUCCAAAGAAACCACAAACUGAAAACAGCCGGACCGGUUUGAAAGAAAACGAGAAAUCAGUAUUGGCCAGAAAAAGCGGGAUCGGUUUAUCUUAAGUUACAUUUAAACCUUGAUACAGCUUACAAGGUUUCAAUGAAACAACGCUAUCAGAAAGUCAUAUAGUUAGUUUUUUUAAUGCCUUCCACCAUAAUUCCUAUCAUUCCUUACAGAAAAUUUUGAUGGACAUGAACAUUUUCAUAGCCAAGUGUACUGCAGAAUCCAUAGCACAUGAUCAACCAUAAUAGACAAUGCUAUUUUGAAAGGUACAAUUCAACAGAAAAAUAUCAUUUUGAAACAACAAAAUAUUUUAAAUCUGCAUUGUUAUUACAACAAACUGACCACUUGUAAUUAUUUGUAAAAUUUGUGCAUUUUACAACAGUACAGAUGUUUGUUUUGGAUUCAUAGACAAAGAAUUGUUUAAAUUGACUUAAAUGGACUGAACUUGUAUGGCGCCUUUCCAAUCAUACUGACCACUCAAAGCACGGUUACACUAGAGCCACAUUCACCCAGACCCACACACACCCAUACCAAUAAAGUGGGCAAUCUGAGGUGGCAGGAGGAAGCGCAUUGCAAGUCAACCACUCUUCUCGCUGAGCCACAGUCACCUCUCGUAUUAAAUAGAAGUUCAAUAGCUGGCUUUAUCAAAGGAUGUUCCUUCCAUGACCUUACUGUACAGUACUGCUUGUGGUAAUAUCUUGGUUCUUUUGAGAAAUCCAGUGUAUUAUAUCUGUUUCUUCAAGAUCUGAUGUUUGGCAGCUGAAAUAGUUAAUUUCACACUGUGCAAAUAUACAUCAAAACUACCAUUUGAACAAGUGUAACCAGUUGUUGUUUAAAUACUAAUAGUAGACAGGUCAGGAAACCAGUAUGGAAAACAUGUAUCUCACAUUUAAAGUAAAAAUAAAAAACAUAAAAACAACAAUAUAAACCUCUAUUUUAUGCAACACAGCGGAUAAUGUAAGGUGCCAAUGUGUUACCAUCCUAGGGGACAUUUAUAACUAUGAAAGAGUCAGGUAUAUUUAUUCCUUCAUACCCCUUUAAGAGGCUCAGUUAGGUUCUUCUGCAGGUGAUGGUUCACACCAACAAAACAUGCUCCGUGAAAACGUGGCACCAACACAGCAGACCAAGAAUCAUCUGUGUAUUCAUCAUCAGGAGUUAAAAACGAAAAUCA